rnacentral:rRNA from 1 species
UGGAUUAGGCAUGCAAGUCGAACGGCAGCACGGGGGCAACCCUGGUGGCGAGUGGCGAACGGGUGAGUAAUACAUCGGAACGUGCCCAGUCGUGGGGGAUAACGUAGCGAAAGUUACGCUAAUACCGCAUACGAUCUCUGGAUGAAAGCGGGGGACCGCAAGGCCUCGCGCGAUUGGAGCGGCCGAUGUCAGAUUAGGUAGUUGGUGGGGUAAAGGCCUACCAAGCCGACGAUCUGUAGCUGGUCUGAGAGGACGACCAGCCACACUGGGACUGAGACACGGCCCAGACUCCUACGGGAGGCAGCAGUGGGGAAUUUUGGACAAUGGGCGCAAGCCUGAUCCAGCCAUUCCGCGUGCAGGAUGAAGGCCUUCGGGUUGUAAACCGCUUUUGUACGGAACGAAACGGCGCCCUCUAAUACAGGGUGCUAAUGACGGUACCGUAAGAAUAAGCACCGGCUAACUACGUGCCAGCAGCCGCGGUA